GGUAGUUUACUCACUGUUUUGAAUCAAUAAUUUUGAGUAUCAUAACAAGUAACUUCCAGGGGUAUUUGGUGGUAAAAAUAUCAAGCAAAAGGAAGGUGUAGAUGGGUGAAAUGGUGGCUGAAACACAAAAGGGACAGCAGCCCUUUAGUUCAUGGUUUUGAUGGCUUUGGAAGGAAGUUCUUGUGCUUGAAAAUGAGAUGAAGGUUGAGAGUAAUUCCCUGGAGUAUUGGCUGGUCAAAUGAGGGUAAAAUGAAGAGGAAAUUUCGUGGUUAUGAAGGAGGAAAGGGUGGAAGAGGAUAAGGGGACAAAACCUAGACUAGCUUGUGAUGGGAUGUGAGUUUAAGUGAUGUGAUCUUGUCUAGCCACUUGCUUGGGUGGUUGUUUAGAGAUAGAGUUAGUUAACUAACUAACUACUAGUUAUUUAGUUAGUUAGGAGUUCUAGUUAAGGAGAGGGAAGGUCUUAAUCUCGAAAAUUAGAAGAGGGAUUAAUAAGCAUUCUUAGUAAAAUGUCUUAAGUGAUUAAGCACUUAUUAGUUAAGUUGGCACUUAUCUCCACCAAUUCUCUUAUCUUAAUUGAUUUAGACAUCAUAAAACUUACAUGAAAUCAUUUUAAUUCAUGACUUAUAACUAGUCAUUCACUAGAUAAUAAUACAUAUAUACAAAUACAUACAUGUAUACUUAGUAUAAAAUAACAAUGUAGUUUUUGUGUAUUUGAACUUUAAUGUUUAUGUUUUAUUCUUUUUAUUCAAAAACACUUAAAUACAUUUUAAUUAUACCUUAUAAUAAUUCAUUUUAUAUUUUAAUUUAUUUAAAUAUAAAAUUUAUUGAGCAAUGUAUAAUUUCGUGACAUUUAACCGGUUAACCAUAUCGUUAAACACGUUUUGUCACUUUGGUUCGUAUAUUUGUCAAAUUUAGAUCCUUCACAUCUAUUAAGCAAACGUUUUACAUAGAACCUAACUUACUUAUCAACUAGAGACAUGUUGAUACAAAAAUUAAGUUUGUUGCAUUUAAAUGAUGUUAUAUGCUAAUUUCACAAACCGGUGAUGGUUCGUAGUCAUACAUCAUAACGAAAUUUAUCAAUAGUUACUUGUUUUAUAUUUCACAAUAACUUAUUUAAAUAAAAGAGGUUAAAUUCCUUCAACCAUUCUUAAUAAAAUACUCAUAUUGCUUAAUAAUCAAAAGAUAGCAUCGUACGAUCGUUCCUAUUUUUACCAAUUGUUACAUUCUCCCCCCGUUAAAAGAAUUUCGCCCCGAAAUUCAACUUGUAGACGGGAUAUCACUGAACAAUUGGGGGUGUUUCUUUUUUUUUCCAUUUGAUUCUCGUGUUCCCUUGUGAAUUCAGGUCCUCGCUUGGCGUUCCAACGGGCCUUCACUAUGGGUAUGCGGCUUUGUUUCGUCCUUUUGACCUCCUGAUCCAUGAUUUCCACCGGUUCUUUGAUGAAGUUUAGACUCUCGUUGUCUUCAAUUUCAUUAAGUGGAAUAACAAGAGUCUCAUCACACAAGCUCUUCUUCGGAUCCUAGGAUGCCUUCAAUUGUUCACGGGUUUGAACAAUCUUCUCUAUAGUUUCUCGUAUGAUCCGGGGGCUGGUGAGACUGUUGUUAGGAACUUGUCCCUUAGCUAGUUGCGUGUCACCUACCUCAACCCAGCACAGAGGUGAUCUACACUUGCUUCUUUAGAGAGCUUUGAAUGACGCGACUUUGAUGUUAAUGUAAUGGUUGUUGUUGUAUAAGGAUUCGAUGAAUGGUUCUUCCACUUUGUCUGUCAGUUUGAGGGUGAUAUUAAGGACUUUUUUAACGAAUAUCAAAAACACGAGGCGAAUCACCUGUCCCUUAUCCAAAAUGAUAGAUAGUAGUAUACUCUGCAGUCUCGCAAUCUUCUUGUGAUAUGCUCGUGUCAGUUUUUCUAUUUUUCUUUGUAGCCUUGGUCGAUAGAAAGUGUGUGGGUUUGGUUGAUUUGUCUACGAUUGCUCAAGUGGUAGCAUGUCCAUCCACUGUCCUGGGUAACUUGUCAUGGAGUUCAUGGUAUGACUCAUAACUGAUUCAUCUAUCAUCUCUUUGUGUUUAUAAGUCGUAUAUAAUUAAGAUUGAAAAGACAGUCGAAUCGGUGAUUCUAUUCUAAGCCCACAUCCAAACAAGGAAAAGGAUUUAAAGCGGAAUUACCAACCCUAAGUCCGUAGAAUCUUAAUUAUAUAGGGCUCCAAUAUAUACACUUAGUAAUCAUAGAUUCACUAGUAUGGGUCCAUAGUCUCUACUUGAGUGGGGUGAUUAACUUGGGUGAGAUGGCAUUUACAACAACCCUUUUCCACAACUACUGCACUUAGGUUGAUUUUUGAACUCGGGUUGCCGUACGGAUGGUAUUCCCAGGAGAUCUUCUCGGAAUAUAUCGAGAAGGUUACGGGCUUUUUCAACAUCCAUGAUGUCUUUCUCUUCUUGUUUCUUAUCCACAGCACGGGCUAGGACGGCGUGGUACCUCCUGUGUAGGUACUUCUGAGUCUUGUUGCAAAAGGUGAGUCGGGGGAUUGUGUCCGGUUUGUCGCCAUAGACAACGAGGGUUCUAUUACUCGAUGGGUUUAGGCGAAUGGACUUUUCGUAAUAUAUGAUAUCGGUAUGGUGAGGAAACUAACUAAUACGUUGUUAAAAUGAAAAUGUCGUAAAUUUUUAUUGUGACCGGUUUUAGGAUGAUUUGAAUGAAUUGGUUGAUUUAGUGUUAGAGUGCACCCUAUGUACACGUCUCUAGUGCUUUUGAUUAUUCCAAUUCUACUGUAAAUAUUUCGUUUAAGUUUUUGAGGUUUUUGGUUGAGAAAUUGAUUAAAUCUACGACUCACAAUACUCCUCUCCGCGUUGCUAUUAUAUAGUAUCCAUGCAUAUGUGCUAUCGGGAAUGAACGUACCGGAAUCUCAGCGGGGUCUAUUACUGCUUUCCCAUGCUCUGUUGCUAAAACACUUCCGACGCUCCUGACAUCUUUGUUUUUAGUCUCCGGGAACUCCUUUAUGAAAUGCCCUACUUCUCCACAUCUGUAGCAAGUCUGACUCAUCCCAACUUUUGUGUUCUGGGCGGUCUGUUGAGCCGGCACCCUACAGAAAUUUUUGGUAUGCCCCUUUUCAUUACAAUUCUUGUAGUGCAUUUCCCUGCACUUUCCUUUGUGAUGAAAGCUACACUUGGUGCAUUUUGGCAGGUUUCCAACAUAUGGUCUUGUCGGCACUAAGGUAGUAGGGAUGGCGGUGGUGUGGAAUGUCACUGUUUGUUGUCUUUUGGUAGGUCCUUGAUUUGGGGCGUCGUUGCAGGAACAUACUCGGGGUGUCCCUGGUUGUUAUUACAAUUGAAACUUUUGGCGCCGUUCCUGCUUUUGUUUUUGUUGUUAGCACCGAGUUGUGCCAUGACUGCUGUCACGGCGGCUGUUACCGAAAUUUGAAAUGGUGUAGGGUCUAUUUAUAGAACUAGUGUUGCACCAGUAUGCUGAUUACCUUCAUGUGUCGGCAUGAUUCUAUUUCGCGAGUGGCCUCCUCUGUUCUCAGUUCUGUGAUGACUGUCCAGGUUGUAGCUGUAAGGGUUCUUUGUCCAAAAACGACUAUCUCCUUUUCUAAGGAGUGUAGGUGAUCUAUAUUGUUCUCUUGAUCUGCUUUCCGGUCUAUAGGUGUUAUGGCCCGAAGUACGGUGCAGUGAGUUUAUGUCGGUUAUGGAUCAUCGGUCGUCCUCUGCAGUCUAUAUGUGUGGCUAGAUAGUUAAUUGCGGGUUGCUUCCUGAAAUGAGAGGUGGAGGUUCUCACACUCCUCUUGAUAGGGUAAGGUUUAUUGAUGGUAACUCCCGAACUUCUUUCUCCAUCUAGUCCCUUCGCGGAAAUCGUCUUCCUCGUAUUUUAUCUAUUAGUACUCUUCNUUCUUUUGGAUCCUUCUUGAUCCAUCUAUUGGCUUUGGUAGCAGGAUAGUAGGGAUCUAUGUGGAGAUGAAGUCUAGCUGAUAUGCCUAUGCGAGAAUAGGGGUAAGAAGCAUAUGAAGAAUCUAAGUGUGUGGUUCUAUUGUAACGCAAAAUACUCCUAUAGUAUUUUAAAUUUGUAUGUUAAAGUUUUCUUUGUAUGGUUUGUUGGUAAGUUUUAGACUCGUCAUCCACUACGACCAUUCCUCGGCAUACGUUGGUCACCUGUUGGAUAAAUAUAGUUGAUCAGGCUAUAUUCAUCCCAGACAUGAUUACACACCUCGAGGCUUACUCGCAGUGUUUAACUUCUCUUAAUACUUUUUGUUUUGUUGCCAAUAUGACUCUUUACUAGUAUGUUUGUAUGCACUUACAUUUUUCGUGAAAUCUCGGUCCAUUCCUGGUCCUUCUAUGGUUGCCUUGUGUAUACAGGUCAUAUACAGUCAAGAUUAAAUAGUCAGUCGAAUAAGUGAUCUUACCUUAUAUCCACAUCCAAACAAGGAAAAGGAAGUAAAGUGCAAAUCACAAAUUCUAUGUCUAUAAAACUUUUAGUAUAUACCACCUUAAUGUAUACACUUAGCAAACAUAGACAUAACAGCAAAGGACCCCUAAUGUUCCUGUUUUGAAAUUCUUAAGUCGGAGAGUUUUAGUCCCUAUGUAUUUAUAGUUUGUAUAUCUUAUGUGUUUUGAUAUACUUAGCUCACUAUAAACAAUGCUCUGAUACCAAUCUGUCACACCCCCAAACCGGAACGGCGGAAACGUUCGGGGGCGGAUGACUUCAUGUGGUAACGUAACAAAUGAAUACAUAGUAAAGAAAGCAAUACAACCAUCAUAUAUAUAAUUGAAAGUUUACAUUGUUAAAAGGUACAUGUUCAAAACCAAUUACAAUAUGAUGCCAAAAUAUGAAUUUAAACUGGCGCCGCAGCGUCCCUUCUUCAAAAGCUGUUUGUUACCUGUAAUUACUGAAUCCCUGGGACAUACAAGUAGUUUUGAAAGAGUAGAUCAACAUUUAAGCUGGUGAGUUUCAUAAGUAUUAAAUGACAAUGUUUGUAUGAAAUGAAAUGUUUUGUUCUUGUUUGNUAGAAAAAUCGUAUGAACGCGUGCGAGUAGUCAUUAGAAAGGUAUAAACUUGAGAUAUUUUCAUAUUGGACAGUUUUGAAUGAUAUUAAGUUUAAGAUGGUAAAAACAGUCCGUGAACAGGACUCAACUUUUCUAUAGAAAGUUGUCAUUUAAAUUUAAGUUAUGUUUAGUGUUCUAACUUGUAUUCCCCCCUUAAAACUUGAAGAAAACAUGAAAAUGUAGGGGUAUGAACUCACCUUAUGUGAAUACUUGAAGAAUGGAAGGUUGAAGAUGAACUUUUGGUUGUUGGUUUGAUGCUCCAAAACAACCACUCUUUUGGCUAUGUUGCUGUCACGAAAAUUUCACAGCAAAAGAGCAAGAAAAAGGGUAGUUUACUCACUGUUUUGAAUCAAUAAUUUUGAGUAUCAUAACAACUAACUUCCAGGGGUAUUUUUUGGUAAAAAUAUCAAGCAAAAGGAAGGUAUAUAUGGGUGAAAUGGUGGUUGAAACACAAAAGGGACAGCAGCCCUUUAGUUCAUGGUUUUGAUGGCUUUGGAAGGAAGUUCUUGUGCUUGAAAAUGAGAUGAAGGUUGAGAGUAAUUCCCUGGAGUAUUGGCUGGUCAAAUGAGGGUAAAAUGAAGAUAAAAUUUCGUGAUUAUGAAGGAGGAAAUAGUGGAAGAGGAUAAGGGGACAAAACCUAGACUAGCUUGUGAUGGGAUGUGAGUUUAAGUGAUGUGAUCUUGUCUAGCCACUUGCUUGGUUGGUUGCUUAGAGAUAGAGUUAGUUAACUAACUAACUACUAGUUAUUUAGUUAGUUAGGAGU
rnacentral:lncRNA from 1 species